rfam:Oreochromis niloticus linkage group LG17, whole genome shotgun sequence.
ACAACGGCUCUUUUAAGAGCCACACAACUCAUCCUAAGAAAUAAGU